AAAUGACCUCAAAUCAGGUAAGAAUACCCGCUGAACUUAAGCAUAUCAAUAAGCGGAGGAAAAGAAAAUAACAAUGAUUCCCUUAGUAACGGCGAGUGAAGGGGGAAAAGCUCAAAUUUUAAAUCUGCUAGGUUUUACCUAUCAGAAUUGUAAUUUGAAGAAGCGUUUUCCGCGUCUCGGUUGGCCCAAAUCCUUUGGGAUAAGGUAUCAUGGAGGGUGAGAAUCCCGUUCGGUUGACCUUAUGACGCACUACGAUACGCUUUCUAAGAGUCGAGUUGUUUGGGAUUGCAGCUCAAAAUGGGAGGUAAAUUUCUCCUAAGGCUAAAUAUCGGCGAGAGACCGAUAGCGAACAAGUACCGUGAGGGAAAGAUGAAAAGAACUUUGAAAAGAGAGUAAAAUAGUACGUGAAAUUGUUGAAAGGGAAACGAUUGAAGUCAGUCGUACCGACGAGAAAUCAGCUUAUCGUGUGUUAACUUGUGGGCGUGCGUGAGUUUCGGCCUCGCUGUUUGCAUGUUUGUGCGCUUUGGGUGUACUUUUUCGUAUGGUAGGCCAACAUCAGUUUCGAUCACUAUAAAAUGACUGGCGGAAUGUAGCUUCGAUUUCGGUUGAAGUGUUAUAGCCUCUGGUAGAUGUGGUAAUUGGGACUGAGGAUUGCAACGAAUAUCCUUUGGGCUAUCCGUCUGGCCUCUGAAAGUUGCUUGGGUGCUGAAAGCUUGCUUAUGGUUAUCUAAGUUAACGGUCAAUAGGUUAGAACGUGAUUACAUUCGUUAAGGAUGUUGGCGUAAUGG
rnacentral:rRNA from 1 species